GCAAGUAUAGUUUAACCAAAACAUUAGCUUGUGAUCCUAAAAAUAGAAGUUAGACCCUUCUUACCUGCCAAGGGGAGGU
rnacentral:tRNA from 1 species